UGGGGAAUAUUGCACAAUGGGCGCAAGCCUGAUGCAGCCAUGCCGCGUGUAUGAAGAAGGCCUUCGGGUUGUAAAGUACUCUCAGCGGGGAGGAAGGCGAUAAGGUUAAUAACCUUGUCGAUUGACGUUACCCGCAGAAGAAGCACCGGCUAACUCCGUGCCAGCAGCCGCGGUAAUACGGAGGGUGCAAGCGUUAAUCGGAAUUACUGGGCGUAAAGCGCACGCAGGCGGUCUGUCAAGUCGGAUGUGAAAUCCCCGGGCUCAACCUGGGAACUGCAUUCGAAACUGGCAGGCUAGAGUCUUGUAGAGGGGGGUAGAAUUCCAGGUGUAGCGGUGAAAUGCGUAGAGAUCUGGAGGAAUACCGGUGGCGAAGGCGGCCCCCUGGACAAAGACUGACGCUCAGGUGCGAAAGCGUGGGGAGCAAACA
rnacentral:rRNA from 1 species